AGUGGACGCUGGCGGUAGGCCUAACACAUGCAAGUCGAACGGCAGCACAGUAAGAGCUUGCUCUUACGGGUGGCGAGUGGCGGACGGGUGAGGAAUACAUCGGAAUCUACUUUUUCGUGGGGGAUAACGUAGGGAAACUUACGCUAAUACCGCAUACGACCUACGGGUGAAAGCAGGGGAUCUUCGGACCUUGCGCGAUUGAAUGAGCCGAUGUCGGAUUAGCUAGUUGGCGGGGUAAAGGCCCACCAAGGCGACGAUCCGUAGCUGGUCUGAGAGGAUGAUCAGCCACACUGGAACUGAGACACGGUCCCGACUCCUACGGGAGGCAGCAGUGGGGAAUAUUGGACAAUGGGCGCAAGCCUGAUCCAGCCAUACCGCGUGGGUGCAGAAGGCCUUCGGGUUGUAAAGCCCUUUUGUUGGGAAAGAAAAUCAGCAGGUUAAUACCCCGCUGUUCUGACGGUACCCAAAGAAGAAGCACCGGCUAACUUCGUG
rnacentral:rRNA from 1 species